rnacentral:tRNA from 9 species
GCGCCCUUAGCUCAGUUGGAUAGAGCCGCGGACUUCUAAUCCGAAGGUCGGGGGUUCGAAUCCCUCAGGGCGCACCA